UGCUGUGAGGCAUGCUGGAGGUAUCAGAAGUGCGAAUGCUGACAUAAGUAACGAUAAAGCGGGUGAAAAGCCCGCUCGCCGGAAGACCAAGGGUUCCUGUCCAACGUUAAUCGGGGCAGGGUGAGUCGACCCCUAAGGCGAGGCCGAAAGGCGUAGUCGAUGGGAAACAGGUUAAUAUUCCUGUACUUGGUGUUACUGCGAAGGGGGGACGGAGAAGGCUAUGUUAGCCGGGCGACGGUUGUCCCGGUUUAAGCAUGUAGGCUGGUUGUCCAGGCAAAUCCGGAUAAUCAAGGCUGAGGUGUGAUGACGAGGCACUACGGUGCUGAAGUAACAAAUGCCCUGCUUCCAGGAAAAGCCUCUAAGCAUCAGGUAACAUCAAAUCGUACCCCAAACCGACACAGGUGGUCAGGUAGAGAAUACCAAGGCGCUUGAGAGAACUCGGGUGAAGGAACUAGGCAAAAUGGUGCCGUAACUUCGGGAGAAGGCACGCUGGUGUGUAGGUGAAGCCCCUGCGGGUGGAGCUGAGACCAGUCGAAGAUACCAGCUGGCUGCAACUGUUUAUUAAAAACACAGCACUGUGCAAACACGAAAGUGGACGUAUACGGUGUGACGCCUGCCCGGUGCCGGAAGGUUAAUUGAUGGGGUUAUCCGUAAGGAGAAGCUCUUGAUCGAAGCCCCGGUAAACGGCGGCCGUAACUAUAACGGUCCUAAGGUAGCGAAAUUCCUUGUCGGGUAAGUUCCGACCUGCACGAAUGGCGUAAUGAUGGCCAGGCUGUCUCCACCCGAGACUCAGUGAAAUUGAACUCGCUGUGAAGAUGCAGUGUACCCGCGGCAAGACGGAAAGACCCCGUGAACCUUUACUAUAGCUUGACACUGAACAUUGAGCCUUGAUGUGUAGGAUAGGUGGGAGGCUUUGAAGCGUGGACGCCAGUCUGCGUGGAGCCAACCUUGAAAUACCACCCUUUAAUGUUUGAUGUUCUAACGUUGGCCCCUGACCGGGGUUGCGGACAGUGUCUGGUGGGUAGUUUGACUGGGGCGGUCUCCUCCCAAAGCGUAACGGAGGAGCACGAAGGUUAGCUAAUCCUGGUCGGACAUCAGGAGGUUAGUGCAAUGGCAUAAGCUAGCUUGACUGCGAGCGUGACGGCGCGAGCAGGUGCGAAAGCAGGUCAUAGUGAUCCGGUGGUUCUGAAUGGAAGGGCCAUCGCUCAACGGAUAAAAGGUACUCCGGGGAUAACAGGCUGAUACCGCCCAAGAGUUCAUAUCGACGGCGGUGUUUGGCACCUCGAUGUCGGCUCAUCACAUCCUGGGGCUGAAGUAGGUCCCAAGGGUAUGGCUGUUCGCCAUUUAAAGUGGUACGCGAGCUGGGUUUAGAACGUCGUGAGACAGUUCGGUCCCUAUCUGCCGUGGGCGCUGGAGAAUUGAGGGGGGCUGCUCCUAGUACGAGAGGACCGGAGUGGACGCAUCACUGGUGUUCGGGUUGUCAUGCCAAUGGCACUGCCCGGUAGCUAAAUGCGGAAGAGAUAAGUGCUGAAAGCAUCUAAGCACGAAACUUGCCCCGAGAUGAGUUCUCCCUGAGACUUUAAGUCUCC
rnacentral:rRNA from 1 species